rnacentral:rRNA from 1 species
GAUGAACGCUGGCGGCGUGCCUAAUACAUGCAAGUCGAGCGAACAGACGAGGAGCUUGCUCCUCUGACGUUAGCGGCGGACGGGUGAGUAACACGUGGAUAACCUACCUAUAAGACUGGGAUAACUUCGGGAAACCGGAGCUAAUACCGGAUAAUAUAUUGAACCGCAUGGUUCAAUAGUGAAAGACGGUUUUGCUGUCACUUAUAGAUGGAUCCGCGCCGCAUUAGCUAGUUGGUAGGGUAACGGCUUACCAAGGCAACGAUGCGUAGCCGACCUGAGAGGGUGAUCGGCCACACUGGAACUGAGACACGGUCCAGACUCCUACGGGAGGCAGCAGUAGGGAAUCUUCCGCAAUGGGCGAAAGCCUGACGGAGCAACGCUGCGUGAGUGAUGAAGGUCUUCGGAUCGUAAAACUCUGUUAUUAGGGAAGAACAAAUGUGUAAGUAACUAUGCACGUCUUGACGGUACCUAAUCAGAAAGCCACGGCUAACUACGUG